UACGGAGGGUGCAAGCGUUAUCCGGAUUCACUGGGUUUAAAGGGUGCGUAGGUGGGUUGAUAAGUCAGUGGUGAAAUCCCCGAGCUUAACUUGGGAACUGCCAUUGAUACUAUUGAUCUUGAAUACCGUGGAGGUCAGCGGAAUAUGUCAUGUAGCGGUGAAAUGCUUAGAUAUGACAUAGAACACCAAUUGCGAAGGCAGCUGGCUACACAAAUAUUGACACUGAGGCACGAAAGCGUGGGGAUCAAACAGGA
rnacentral:rRNA from 1 species